rnacentral:misc_RNA from 1 species
GUGAGUCAUCGAAUCUUUGAACGCACAUUGCGCCCCCUGGUAUUCCGGGGGGCAUGCCUGUCCGAGCGUCAUUGCUGCCCUCAAGCACGGCUUGUGUGUUGGGCCCCCGCCCCCCGGCUCCCGGGGGGCGGGCCCGAAAGGCAGCGGCGGCACCGCGUCCGGUCCUCGAGCGUAUGGGGCUUUGUCACCCGCUCGUGUAGGCCCGGCCGGCGCCAGCCGACACCCAUCAAUCUUACCCAGGUUGACCUCGGAUCAGGUAGGGAUACCCGCUGAACUUAAGCAUAUCAAUAAGCGGAGGA